GCGGGUGUGGUGGAAUUGGUAGACACGCAGGAUUUAGGUUCCUGUGCCGCAAGGCGUGAGAGUUCAAGUCUCUUCACCCGCACCA
rnacentral:tRNA from 2 species